rnacentral:rRNA from 1 species
CAGUAGCCGCGGUAAUACGAAGGGGGCUAGCGUUGCUCGGAAUGACUGGGCGUAAAGGGCGCGUAGGCGGAUUGUACAGUCAGACGUGAAAUUCCUGGGCUCAACCUGGGGACCGCGUUUGAGACGUGCGAUCUAGAGUUUGGAAGAGGGUCGUGGAAUUCCCAGUGUAGAGGUGAAAUUCGUAGAUAUUGGGAAGAACACCGGUGGCGAAGGCGGCGACCUGGUCCUUGACUGACGCUGAGGCGCGAAAGCGUGGGGAGCAAACAGGAUUAGAUACCCCGGUAGUCCCUGUCUCUUAUAC